rnacentral:rRNA from 1 species
AGUCGAGCGGAUGAGAAGAGCUUGCUCUUCGAUUCAGCGGCGGACGGGUGAGUAAUGCCUAGGAAUCUGCCUGAUAGUGGGGGACAACGUUUCGAAAGGAACGCUAAUACCGCAUACGUCCUACGGGAGAAAGCAGGGGACCUUCGGGCCUUGCGCUAUCAGAUGAGCCUAGGUCGGAUUAGCUUGUUGGUGAGGUAAUGGCUCACCAAGGCGACGAUCCGUAACUGGUCUGAGAGGAUGAUCAGUCACACUGGAACUGAGACACGGUCCAGACUCCUACGGGAGGCAGCAGUGGGGAAUAUUGGACAAUGGGCGAAAGCCUGAUCCAGCCAUGCCGCGUGUGUGAAGAAGGUCUUCGGAUUGUAAAGCACUUUAAGUUGGGAGGAAGGGCAGUCAGCGAAUACCUGAUUGUUUUGACGUUACCGACAGAAUAAGCACCGGCUAACUCUGUGCCAGCAGCCGCGGUAAUACAGAGGGUGCAAGCGUUAAUCGGAAUUACUGGGCGUAAAGCGCGCGUAGGUGGUUUGUUAAGUUGGAUGUGAAAUCCCCGGGCUCAACCUGGGAACUGCAUCCAAAACUGGCAAGCUAGAGUAUGGUAGAGGGUGGUGGAAUUUCCUGUGUAGCGGUGAAAUGCGUAGAUAUAGGAAGGAACACCAGUGGCGAAGGCGACCACCUGGACC